rnacentral:lncRNA from 1 species
CUUAAAGAAAUGCUCACUUGGCUAUUAUAACUCAUAAAAACACACAAACACAAAAGCAAAAGAAAAAAAUUUGACAGCAAAAACAUUGAAGAGGCUGCCAAAUUAAAAAAAGAUAAACUUCCACAAUUGAUAAAGGAAAGAUUUUUCCCCACCAACGUUCGACACCGUCAUUUCUCCCUUUUUCCCCAUCGACGUCCCACAACAAAUCAAAACGAAAUCGAGACCACCCUCGCACUAAGCUCCAUCGUUGGCCGGCACCGAAGAAGCAAAGAACAUAGAUCUCCUUUUUCAACAAAAUUUGAUUAGUUGUUUGACAUACGUUGGAGUACCAACCAUCUCCUUCUUUGACGGAAUUUGCAGCGAACUUUCGGUAAGCACCGGAUUUGGGUUAUAUGGGUGUGUGGCUAUCGUUGGGCAUAGUUAUAUUUGCUGAUUCGACCAAAUCUAUGGGUAUUUAUGGGUGUAUUCGACCAAACAUUUUGAGCAUGUUUUGAGAUUUUGUGCACUGUGACAAUAAUUGCAUAUACAAAAUUGUAUAUUAUUUGGAAUGUCACAAUUUUUUUGCAUGACGUGAUGAAAAAUAGGAAGGUGUAGAUGUUGGAAUUGCCAUAUUGUGUUUGCAGUAAUUGAAAGUGAACUACAUGAGCGUUCUUAUUCGACUUGCUCGAACAUUUGAUUAUCCAAUUUGUUAAGCAGUUAUUUGGAAUAGUCAUUGCGUCAUUCUAACAUUAUUUGUAUGUGCUUGCAACUGUAGUUUACAAUGGCAGCAAAUAAUCGUGGAGUGUGUCAUGGUUGUAGACGUAGUGAUCACUUGUUUAAGGAUUGUCCAAACAAGCACCCAUGCCCGUGGUGUAAACAUGCUUUUGUCAAGUGUUUUGUGGUUGCGAAGGAAAUUAAUAACAAGGGAAAAUUUUCAAUUGUUGUAGGGCAAAUUGUGGGUAUUGGAAGUGGGUUAAAGAGGGUGAAACAAGCGGUGAAUCAAGUUCUGAUGGAACAAUUACAUCCACUAACAAUGCAACGAGCGAAUUAGUUCAAGAGGCAUCUGGUAUGUUCAAAACUAUGUGUAGGCUAAGUCAUGACGAAGAUGUGGAAAUUAUAGUCACAAUACUAAAAGGAAAAGUGAGCUCGAAAUGAAGUUGUGUAAGGAAAUGGGAAUGAUUGAUCUGCAGUUAUAGGUGACAGUGAAGUUGUUAUUUAAAUUAGGAUCACCAUUUGUCAUUUAACUUUGGGUUUCUACUGCGUCGUUUCAUGAUAUGUAAUUUGGAUGUUAUGUAAUGUUAUGCACUGAGUAUUUCAUUUUGUUUGGUGCUAUAUUCACUCUAUAAUUGUUUAGCUAUCAAAUCAUGUCUUAAAUGUAUAAG